rnacentral:ncRNA from 1 species
ACAGUACAAACUGAGCAGGCAAUGACCCGAUUGGGCAUAGGGCCGGGCCGCAAGUGCGGCAGCAGAUCGUUUUGAACAUCUGUGGGACAGUU